CUGCAGGGAUGGAACACGUAAUUCUCAAGUCCUACACAGUUCAAUUGGUAUGCAAAGAAUUCGCCAAGAGCUUUUAGAAAUAUAUACCUAAAAGAAAUGAUUCCUUCAAUGCUCCCAUUCUAGAGGGGUGAUAAGACACAAUAAAUUACAGGAAUGGAUGGAAACAAUUGACAAAGUGCAAGAAGAAAAAGCACGGAUGACUGUCCAACUAUCUUGGGGGAUGUAGGGAUGAAUAAUCUGUGAUCGUCAUUGUGGGAUGCUCAUUCUACUCAGCUGAGUUAAUGUUGGCUGGGUUUUGUGUGUGUGUGUUAAAGCCUUUGACACUUAAAAUGCCAGCAUGUACAGGAGACCCAGGGUGCAUCCUAACAGGUGCCUCUUCUCAGGCUUCUAGAUGGCGACUCGACACGCAAGGUGAUCAACUCGAAGGUGAUCGUCUCCAGAGCACCUUCAGCAGCAGACCAGGGGCAGAAAGGAAAGCCGUGCAAAUGCCCAGGGAUCCACAGGAGAGGCGGGGGCUUCAGUGGCCAGAAUUCCAGGUACAAAAGAGCCCCCUCCCACUGACUGUGCCUUAGAGAACAGCGGAGCUGGGAUGCUUCUCUGCCUCUUCCGGCUCAUCUCAAACAUGAGGAACUAUUUGUGCAAGAUGCCUAUCUCUGGUCUGAAGGCAUGCUGGCAGCUGUAGGCUCACAGCCAAGACAUUAAGCUAAUUUCCCAGGAUAAUUCACACUAUUCGAAGGGUCACUUUUUGAUCAGGUUGAUCUAAAUAUUUAAUUGUCACAACUCUCUGGUUGGUUUGGCUCCUGGGUUUCAAGGAAGAAUGAAGCAGCUGUGCCUAGUGGAAGUCCCAAGCUCAGGAGAUCUCUGAGUUUAAGAUUCCCCCAACAAACAUUUAUUGAGAGGCUCUGAGUACGGGCCUGACACUAUUUUUUUUUUCAGCCACGUUUCUAAUGUUGCCAUUAUCUACAUUUCUGUCUCUAUAGCCACGUAACUUAGGAAAUAAAAAGUUGCCAUAGAGACACAGAUGAGGAGGGCUUUUUUGGGUGUGCCUUUCUCCCGCCCCAAUCAUGCUGGCUGUUGAGAACCACUUCUGAUCAUCUGUGCAGCCCUUAGCGUGGCCCUGGGACAGGGUGAGAGGUCACUACAGCUUUACCUUUUGGCUGGUCCUGAGCAGGCAUCUGAGACGCUCCACUCCCAGGACGGACACUCACACCCCGACGCUCACAUCCCACAGAGUCAGAUACUUCCUUAAGGAAAGAUGCUGGGUGAGCGCUUUGCAAGUGAAAACAACUGCUGUGAGUGAUUGCUCACCUGUAACUAGGAACUGUUCCCAAGCAAAGCCUCACAGAGGCUGAGUCAAAGGGAGACAGAAAGCGAGCCAGCAAUCCUUUUGAAUGUGAGGAGUUAUUCCGGCCCCACCUGUGUGCUGUGGGUCCCUGACACUAGGGAGGGCAGUCUGCGGGACCAGAGAGUAGAAAGGGUUUUAUCAGGAAGGUGAGGGCGAGGCGAAGGGGCACUCAAGGAACACGCCCUCAGCUCAAAACCGACACUUCCGUGUCCCUUAGGAACAUUUCCAACAGUUUUAUGUGGCCUUUGGCUUUUGUGUUUUUACAAAAAGAAAAGUUUUAUGCGUCCUCCUCCCAUAUCUUUUCCUGGUAAGGAGUUUAUCUUUAACUUCAGAAGGGAAUUACUUUCUGAGACAGGGACUGGGUAUCAUUUUUACACUUUAAUUGUUUUUUGGAGACUAAGAAUGCCACAGUAGAAAGGACCCAGGGUCUGGGAAAACAGAGACGUGUUUGAUUCCUGACUCUGGGACUGAUCAGUUUCUGCGAUUAUGGGAAAAUCACUUCAUCCCUCAGUCUACGGCUGCUCAUUGGUGGAUGGAGAGGCUGACACCUGCACCUCUGGCUUCACAGACAGGACCCGGGGAGAAGAGGCACGUCUGCAUGCUUGGCCGACAGGAAAGGGCCACUUACAAGCAUUAGCUAUUAACACUAUUAACAGAACACCAUGACCAAUGUUCCGGAGCGUUUCUGAGUAGUUCCCAUUCUCUGAGGUCACAGGCACAUACCCAGAAUUGCUACUAUCGGUUUGGUUCUCUUUCUUCCUUUGGCUCUUAAUUUGUAGGGGAGAUCCUAAGGGUUAAUGCUGAAUUCUCGCGGGACAGAAGAGGAACGUUGGAGAUGCUUCCAGGCCUUGUCGUGGAGCUUCCAGCUGGGAAGCUCAUCCUGCCCUGCUUCCGUGCACCCUCUGUUUUCUCUCUCUCUCCUUCAAGGCUCAUGGCCAGAUGCUAAAAGGACCAGGUACCCUGAACUCACGUUCAGAGGCAGGGCUCACCACACAUGGCUUCCUCUGGCUGCCAUACCGGCUCCCCUCUGCACCCGGGAAACUAACUCCACACCCCAUCAUUGUCCCCAUCACCCUUCCUGCCCACGUGCCAGCCCUGGCAUGAGGCUCUCCUCAACUGCAGCCGUCACGCACUUCCCCUCUGGGCUGCCGGGCACGCCAGCUGUGCACAUCUGCAGCAGCGGCCCUGCACCGUGCCCUGCUCACCGACACUUUGUGAUGAAAUCUGUGCAACCUCUCGCUAAACGAGGUACAAACAAACCCCUGGGGUUCACGGGCCACUUGGGGGUUCAGUCACAGACCCACUCGUGGUUUAUAGCCUCCACGUAAAGCCUCUCACUGAAAUGGGGUGGACCCCCCUGCCACCUGCACUGCCUGGACAGGGCAGGGCGCACGGAUUUCUUUCUCUCUACUUUGGAUUCCCUGUGGCAAGCCCCGUGCUCACAUUAAUGAUGACUACAAGGGAAUUAGCUCUACAAGUUAAUACAAGUCCUGUUUAUGGGCCCCUGGUUGCACCAUUUCCCUGUGUGAAUUCUUGGGCAUUUAGAGAGAGAAGGUGCCGUAAACUGGGAGAGAAAUGUCACCACAUUCACAACCAAUAUUAGGCAUUUUUUCAACUGUCCAAUUUAACAUAGAAGACAAGGAGCUUUGUGCUCUUCACAUAGGUAUGUUUGGCUACUGAUCAAAGCUCAUUUCCAAGCGGAGAUAGACAAAGUAUUAUUUCUAUUGGACAUCUGGGGAAUUAGAGACACUGCAAUGUCCGGUUGCCAGUCCCAAACACAGAUACUCUCCUUUACUGCAGCAGGGCCAGGAACUGGGUGAAAACGUCCUUUUCUCACAGAGAGAUCUACUCUCCUUCUGUGCAAGCUCAGGUUCACCGAUACGGUAGGGGGAGCCAUUUCUAUAGCUCAUCCUCGCCUGAUAGAUGAUAAAUGGACAGCUUGCUUCUCUGGGGAUGUGAAGCUCGUCUUCCCGGAGGACUUACUCAUUUGGAAAACGAGGGAAACUUAGGGUUGAUUUAAAAUGGUUCCAGAAGGCCGCGGAAUUCCUUCCUUUCACAGGAGGGAGACCUUUAUGAGAGGCAGGAGUGUGCUCAACUACACAUCAGUAAACUAUGUGCUUGCUCUCCACGCCCUUUAUAAUUUUCAUGAAGCCUCAGGCCACCACCGCUCACAAAUAAAUCACCAUGGAGAGAAAGCAAAGCGGCUGGGGAGUGAGAAAGAUAAACAGCUCGGCACGGAUAAACUGCUAGUAGAGGCUGCAUGGAGGCAAGAAGCCUCCGGGAUGUCAAGCCCUGCAUCCCACGAUGGGAUCUAGACAUCUGCACGAGGAGGACCAAUUCCGUAUGCCGCAAUUUCAUUACAACGCAUCACAGAUUAAAUGAAGAUGGUGUCGAAACUUCUGUCUCAAACGCCAGGAGCAGAGAAUGACAAUUUACCAACACUGUCCUUGAGCAGGUCAGAGGUUUCUGCCUGUAAUUCUGUGAUAGCUCACUGAUUUUAAGGCAUCUUCUUGUGGCUGAACAACGCAUAAGUAAUUGUACGUAAUUUGGCAGUGAGGCAUCAAAACCUCACACCAUGUUGAUUUAAGACGCAACCGUAUGUCUUUUGGGACCUGGAUCUUUCAUACUUAGUUCUGUUUGAUGCGAUAUUUAGAAAUCCACGCUUGUUGUCGUAGCAGAAAAGUUGUCUGCACAGCUGCGCACGUCUGGAGCUGCGCUCAAAGAACCUGUGGAAGAUCUCGCAGGCCGGUGUUGUUUUGGUGGAAAGCUAACUCCUGAGAAUUAUUUUGGUUAUAUCAUGAAAAACGAGUCUCCGGCAUCCGGAGGCGGCUUCUGUCCUGAGCAACAAUCUUACAUUCAUGAGGCUCAGAAGGAUUGACUGGUCUGUACUAAUUAAAGUGACUUAAGAAUAAACCUUUUUUUUUCUAAAGGACUUUUCUAAUAAAAGGUUUAUAAAUAUUUCUUAGUAAAUUGAUUUGACCUUGGGACAUACUUCCAAAUAAUCCACUGAUGGUGGAGAAAACUGGAGAUGAGCUAAGACUGGCCACAGAGAGAGUUCAUUCAUCUAUUCUCUACUUUUGUAUGUUUGAAAUUUUCCAUGAAGCCGACUUUAAAAUAAUUCUUUUGAAAAUAAAUGGCCCUAUGGAAUCAA